AUUGAACGCUGGCGGCAGGCCUAACACAUGCAAGUCGAACGAGUGGCGGACGGGUGAGUAAUGUCUGGGAAACUGCCUGAUGGCGGGGGAUAACUACUGGAAACGGUAGCUACUACCGCAUACCAUCGGAUGUGCCCAGAUGGGAUUAGCUUGUUGGUGGGGUAACGGUUCACCUAGGCGACGAUCCCUAGCUGGUCUGAGAGGAUGACCAGCGACACUGGAACUGAGAAACGGUACAGAAUCCUACGGGAGGAAGCAGUGGGGAAUAUUUCACAAUGGGCGCAAGCCUGAUGCAGCCAUGCCGCGUGUAGGAAGAAGGCCUUCGGGUUUUAAAGUACUUUCAGCGGGGAGGCGUUACUCGCAGAAGAAGCACCGGCUAACUCCGUGCCAGCCGCCGCGGUAAUUC
rnacentral:rRNA from 1 species